ensembl:misc_RNA Metazoa_SRP Metazoan signal recognition particle RNA
AUGGGGGACUGUUAGCAGCAUAGGAUUGAAGGGUUGGAAGAGACCUUUAGAACAGCUGGUAGUUAUGCCAACCGGGUGUCUGCACUAAGUUCGGCAUCAAUAUGGUGACCUCCUGGGAGCAGGGGGCCACCAGGUUGCCUAAGGAUGAAUGAACUGGCCCAGAUCAGAAAGGGAGCAGGUCAGGACUCCCGCACCGACUGGUAGUGGGACUGUGCCUGGGCAAUAUAGCAAAAUCUUGGUUCUUAAAAGGAAAAAUAACAGCAGCUCAUUCCC